rnacentral:rRNA from 1 species
GUGAGGGAUAUUGCGCAAUGGGGGAAACCCUGACGCAGCGACGUCGCGUGGGCGAAGAAGGCCUUCGGGUUGUAAAGCCCUUUUCUGGGUGACGAGAGAGGACGGUAGCCCAGGAAUAAGUCUCGGCUAACUACGUGCCAGCAGCCGCGGUAAAACGUAGGAGGCAAGCGUUAUCCGGAGUUACUGGGCGUAAAGCGCGCGCAGGCGGAUGGAUAAGUGGAUUGUCAAAGGACCAGGCUAAACCUGGGGAAGGCAGUUCAGACUGUCUGUCUGGAGCCAUCUAGAGGGACGCGGAAUUCGGGGUGUAGCGGUGAAAUGUGUAGAGAUCCCGAGGAACACCAGCGGUGAAGACGGCGUCCUGGGGGUGAGCUGACGCUGAGGCGCGAAGGCGUGGGGAGCGAACAGGAUUAGAUACCCUGGUAGUCC